GGCCCAAUGGUCUAGUAGUAUGAUACGCGCUUCGGGAGUUCUCCCCUUUCGAUGACGAAGGAGAAUGCGCGGGGUCCCGGGUUCAAUUCCCGGUUGGGCCC